CAUACAGGUUCAGUUAAACCAGAAAUUUGUGUAUUGACACGAAGGCAUGGCACAGAAGAAGUAAGAGUGCAAUUCGAUACAAUAUUUGUUAAUGGUUGACUGUUACAUUCACAAAAAAGAAUGGUGAUAGUCUUAAUGCAAGGUGUUAUAUUAACAAUUUUGAUGAUGCGGAAAAUUUUGGAGACUUCGAAAUUUUUGAACUUUUUGUAGUAAGAGAGGGAAGAAAAUUUGAGUUAAAUCAUGACAUCAAAAACUUGGAAGGUGCUUUGUUACAGUACAUGGAAGAGAGAGGAUUAAAUGAGGCUUUAAAGCUAGGCUUGUGGCAUUUCAAAAAAAUGGAAGAAUUUAAGUGCAAAAAAGGCUUAAUUGAGUCUCUAAAAGUCCUCCAGAGCUAUGUACAGAGUUAACAAUGUACAUGUACACAUGAAUAAUGUGAUAAUUGACUCUCUAUUUGUUUAUCUACUCUAUCAAACUUUUGAGCUGCUCAUUUGCCUUGAAUAUUGAAAAAAAAA
rnacentral:lncRNA from 1 species